UCGAGAGAUUCAUUAAAACAGUUACAACUUACGAGUUAGCUCUUUCCGGCAACAACUUCUUUAGUGUUAGAAGACAACUUAUUUUACAGAUCGCUGGAACAAUCGUUACCUACGAAUUAGUCAUCAUCCAGUUUUACAAUGAAAUGUUAAAAAAUGAAAUGUAAAUAAAAUGAAAUCAUACAUGAAAUUUUUAGUACUGAACACUUUUAUGUAUGUUCUGUAAUAAAUAUACUCCGAAUCUUAA
rnacentral:lncRNA from 1 species